CCUACGGGAGGCAGCAGUGAGGAAUAUUGGUCAAUGGACGAGAGUCUGAACCAGCAAAGUAGCGUGAAGGAUGACUGCCCUAUGGGUGGUAAACUUCGUUUAUAUGGGAAUAAAAUGUUCCACGUGUGGGAUUUUGUAUGUACCAUAUGAAUAAGGAUCGGCUAACUCCGUGCCAGCAGCCGCGGUAAUACGGAGGAUCCGAGCGUUAUCCGGAUUUAUUGGGUUUAAAGGGAGCGUAGGUGGAUUGUUAAGUCAGUUGUGAAAGUUUGCGGCUCAACCGUAAAAUUGCAGUUGAAACUGGCAGUCUUGAGUACAGUAGAGGUGGGCGGAAUUCGUGGUGUAGCGGUGAAAUGCUUAGAUAUCACGAAGAACUCCGAUUGCGAAGGCAGCUCACUGGACUGCAACUGACACUGAGGCUCGAAAGUGUGGGUAUCAAACAGGAUUAGAUACCCUAGUAGUC
rnacentral:rRNA from 1 species